rnacentral:tRNA from 1 species
AAGAAAGUGACAGACUGGCUAUGUGGUCGGCUUGAAACCGUCUUAUGGGGGUUCGAUUCCCUCCUUUCUUG